rnacentral:misc_RNA from 1 species
GAUGAAGAACGCAGCAAAAUGCGAUAAGUAGUGUGAAUUGCAGAAUUCAGUGAAUCAUCGAAUCUUUGAACGCACAUUGCGCCCCUUGGUAUUCCAUGGGGCAUGCCUGUUCGAGCGUCAUUUGUACCCUCAAGCUCUGCUUGGUGUUGGGUGUUUGUUCCGCCUCUGUGUGUGAACUCGCCUCAAAACAAUUGGCAGCCGGCGUACUUGUUUCGGAGCGCAGCACAUUUUGCGAUCCAGAUCAACGUACAGCGGCAUCCAAGAAGCCUUAUUUAACGCUCUUGACCUCGGAUCAGGUAGGGAUACCCGCUGAACUUAAGCAUAUCAAUAAGCGGAGGA